GCCGCGCUCGCGCACGGCGCGGUGAUCGAGGCGGUCUUCACCGGCCCGGGCGAAGGCGGCGUCGUCGCGGCGUUCGGCAUCGCCGGCGCGGCG
rnacentral:tRNA from 1 species